UACGUAGGGUGCAAGCGUUGUCCGGAAUUAUUGGGCGUAAAGAGCUCGUAGGCGGUCUGUCGCGUCGGCUGUGAAAACCCGGAGCUCAACUCCGGGCCUGCAGUCGAUACGGGCAAACUAGAGUACUGCAGGGGAGACUGGAAUUCCUGGUGUAGCGGUGAAAUGCGCAGAUAUCAGGAGGAACACCGAAGGCGAAAGGCAGUCUCCUGGCAAGUGUCUGACGCUCAGGUGCGAAAGCUAGGGGAGCGAACAGG
rnacentral:rRNA from 1 species